AAGUCGGACGCCGUGGUGUA
rnacentral:miRNA from 1 species